GGGAAUGUGGCUCAGUGGUAGAGUGCUUGCUUAGCAUGCAGGAAGCCCUGGGUUCAAUUCUUCAAUACCA
rnacentral:tRNA from 1 species